AUGGGUUUCUGAUUAAAAUUUUUUUUCAGUAAAUCUUUUAAUUUGGAAAACACUUUGUGCUUAAGCUUGAAAAGUGCUGUAGAAAUAAAAGUAUUAUUAUUGUUUGGAGGAAUAAUUUCGUUAUCUAAAAUAUUCACAAACUGAUAUCUUCUUAGUUGUCACAUACUUAUAUCUGUUUUAUUUAUCUUCAAAUGCCAGAGAACUAUGCACAAAGUCCUCAGAGUUGCUACAUACUUCAGGUGCAAAAAGACUGUGAGAGGACAUUUGAGUUACGGACGAUAUACAAAUCAACUUUAUGAGCUGUGUGAAACUUUUGAAGAAUGCCCUCCCAGACAAAUUCCGUACAAAUGAAUCUUUUCUAACCACAAAACAGGGCUGGUGUCACUAAUAAUAUACAGAGGGAGUGUGCUGUUUACACAGCAGUCGCUCGCUUGGUUCAGUCAUUUAGUGAAAGUAUAUAAAAUGCAGCGACACACAGCUAAAUGUAAAGAGCGUCUCGCUACACAAGUAGUUAAGAGACUAGCAGUUUUGAUGUUUCGUGAUCAUAAUGAAAGCACUGUUUCCCUCAAACGGAAAGAAAAUUCCAAUUGUGUCUCCUUAAUUAGGCAAAUAAUAGGUUUGGGUUGCAUGGCAUGGUGCCUUGUUUGAAGUAAGGGUGUGGCUCCCACUUAAUGAUUUUAUUACCUCACUGUUUGUGAGCAAGAGGGACAUCUUUUAUGUUUAAACUUUUAUGUUUAUACAUCAUGUGGUGGUUCAGCAGUGUGAGAACCGAUGUGCUGGUAAAGAAUUAGAACAACACAUUUGAAUUUUUUCUUCUAUCAACAGCAGCGCUGUGAAGAAGCAAACACGUAGUUUCUUGUGCAAGCACAGAGAGAAGCUACCCAGUCGAACACUGACAAAGUCAAACCACUAAAUUUAAUUCAAAUGUUUUCCUUUCACACAAAAUUUAGAGUCAUAAAUGUCAGAGAAAGUAGAAAUCAGCGCUAGCCACCUUUGUUCUUGGAACAUUCUUGUGUUGUGCCUUUAGCUACGCCGGUUAGGGAAAGAGUGGCAGUUCUGUGGUUGUAACUCUACAGAGACUCCUAAAACCAGACAGAGCUCAAUGGUUUCUAGGGAACACCGUAGAGUGUGGACAUCGAAUUGCAGCGAGGAAUGCUAGAAAGCAAUAAAACAACAUGGAGGACAAAAGGCUAUCAGUGGAGUAAACGACCAUCCAGCCCUCAGAUCAAAUCUGUGCAAAGCAAAGAAAGAUAUUUAACUGCUCACUGAAAAGAAACGCAAAUCAAAAUAUAAAUUUUACACAAAGUGUAAAGUGAGUGUGUUAGUGAUACAAAGAGAGGGAAGGAGAAUGGAGGAAAUGGAGGAAAAAAUAUGGGCCUGCAGAGAAAAUAAUGCAUGUGAUUUCAUCAUCCUCUUGCGAGAAUGACUGAGAAUGAGCUGUGUGCAUUCUUGUCACACACGUGUCUACAGAUAGAAGCACUGAGGAGCGUUAUAAUGCACAGACAGUGUGCGGAUUUAAGGACUUGUGUGAAUUGGAGCAUGUGUUUUGUUGUGUGUGUGAAUGAACACUGCUGCUUUGAACUCACAGUCAUUUCUUGGCCCUGGCCCAGGAUCUCCAGCUGCUGUUGGAUCACUUGGAGCCGCCUCUCCUGCCCUCUCCUCUCCUUUAUAUCCUGCAGGACCUUCUCUCCUGGCUGCGGGUCCCCAUCGCACUUCCAGCCAACCUCUGAGCCAUGGCCCUGAUACACAACAGACACGACUGGUUCUCACGGGGGGAGCUAACAACUCAUCUCACAUUUGGACGUGCUUGGGACAGCACGGAGUAAAAUCAGGUACUCACUAUAAGACCUGAUGAAGCCCAAAACCUCAGCCAAAGUCUACAUGGGGUCCAACAUAAAUCACACAUUUAUAAGAUCCACGUGAACUGGGUCGACCACAAGCUGCAUCCAAAGCCAACUUUGAAAAUGGGUCAGGAUGAAAUGGGAGAGUCAUGCCUGGAGGACCAUCCACAGAUAAGUGACAGGCUUGUAUUUCUUAGUGAAUGGAUCUUUUUUAUUCGGUACGAUAUGAUCAAAGUAAAGACAUCAGAUUCAAAUGACACAUUUAGAGGUCAUUUAAUAUUUACACAGGUCACAAGUCUGUCACAUACUGCGCUGAUACUGAAAUGCUACGCUUUAGCUUCUGCAGACGUAGUGGGACGACCCCACAGUGGUCAAAUGACUGGGAUUCCCUAACAGUCAGUCGGAAGAAGUCUCUUGGACGAGAGGCGAAAUAUCUUCAAGUAACUUCAACAAAGUCCAGUUGCCUUUGACUUGAACUAUCCUUGGAUGACCACUAAGUGCUGAAAAGCUAGCAGUUGUGGCAAAUCUCUAAAAAUAGGUGCAAAUGUUUAAUAUCCUUCCUCACCCAACCCACAAUGUAUUUCUUGACUUCUUUUAAGUAAGGAUGGAUACAUACAACAGAAUAAACAACACUGUUGAGACUGACCAGCGAAUGACCUGUGGUACAGUCAUAUUGUGACCUCCACAAAUACACGGCUACUCUAUAGAAGCAGCAACUAGGUAAAAAAAAACUGAGGGACUGUUGGGACUGAAAGGAUGUUGCCAACCGCAGGGCUGUUUUGGAGUGUCAGUCCAGCGCCAUGUGGUUGAAAUCUCCAUCUCUCUUGGUUAGUCUGGAUGCCAGGCAGGCGUAUGCAUGAUCUAAUAAUGCUGAAAUUGAUGGAUAUUUCAUAAAAUGUCGACAUCUCAAUAGGGACUUGCAUACAGCGAAAUGGUAGGUUACUGGAGACGGCUGGAUCCAGCAAAUUGUGAACUGAAAGUCUGAGUUACUAAAUCUAUUAUGACACAUUUAUGAUAGGAUGUAAUCUUAGUUAAACCCAGGGUAGGAGGGGAGUUCAGUUAAGCUGAGCCAGUGUGUUGAGAAGAAGAAUGAAUGCUUCUGCCCUUAUUAAUAAGCAAAACAGACAUGCCUACUCGACUAAUAUCACUUAUUGCAUUUAGACAGAUUUUAGGCAACUGCAUUAAACCAGCGUGGCUUAACUUCAAAAUUUUAAUCUUGGCAAAAACAAGAGUCCUCUAAGAUUUUUCCAAAGUGUGUGUGGCCUCACCUACCAGUGCCCUUUGUCUCCCUAUAGGGAAAUAAUGACAGCUUCUAUCUGAAGCGUCUUGGCUCGUGGUCGUUAUAGAGCCCUACAGUUAAGACUCCCUCCUCCAGACUACAAAAGCCAGGACCACGACAGGAUCAGACUCCUGUCAUGCACCAGUGUGAGAAACACAGCAUUCAAAACCAGGAAAAAUAAAAAUUAAAGUCUAGCUUUACCACCAUCCUCACACCACUAAAUGCAUGUUUCUAAAACGGCCCAAAUCUCUGGGAGAAACAGUUUAUUUAAUUUGGAAACGAUAGCUGCAUACAUUUCAAGAACUAUAGACUGCAAACUUUAGAAUUAUCUGCAGGGCUUAGCAGUGAUAAAGCUAUCACUGACCAAAGUUUGAAUGAAUUUGGCAUGUAUGUCACAUAUUUUCUUAGUAAACCAAUUUUCUGUGGCUAAAUUAACACCCUAUGAAUUCUGGUGGAUGUAAGGGGAAAGUCCACAGUCUCCUUGUAUAAACUCUACUGAUUUGACCCUAAUUACAGCAAAGAUAGAUGGUCCACAAAUUACACUCAACUCUUUUGGUAUAUUUAAACAGGAGUGGUUUCAGCAGUUCUCUGCUAGCAUGCUGCUCAUGUGACGCCUCCUGUGUAGACACAGUGUUACAUUAAAAGUUUGUCACAAGUGAGUUUCACUGUUACAAUUAAGUCUCAAUGGAAAGCUCUUCAAUAUGCUAAUUAUAAUCUUCAGAUUGAACAGACAAAAUCAGCAAAAACAUAUUUUUUGAAAACAAGACUCAUGCAAGAGUCUCUAAGAGGCUGUAUUUAGGCCUUGCACUACAUUCAGCUAACUGCUAACAUCAGUAUGUUAACAUACUUAUGAUGACGAUGCUGAAAUGCUAAUCUACUUUAGCCUUCUUGCAUGCUAUCACUUGUUAAUUAGCCCUAAACAUAUCAGAGGAUGAUGGGAAUAUCAUUUCUUUUGCCAGUAUUUGGUCAUAAACCAACACAUAUUUUGACUUAAAGGCAGGGUAGGCAAGUUCCUAAAACACUUUUUGUCAUAUUUGUUGAAACUGUCUAUAUACACUAAUAUAUAUUAAAAAGUUAGGUGGUCUGAAAAAGAGCGUAUAAAAAUAGGCUGUCUGUAGUCCUCUCAGGGCUGCAGUAAACACAGCCACUCGUUUCUUUUGGACCGAAUGCAAUGAUUGGCUGGGUGACUGUCACUCUCCCUCGCUGCCAUGGCUACCAGACCUGCUGCUACAGGAGCUGCCCACAUGCGCGCACCCGGUCACCUCUCAGACCUGACGAGCGAAGCGGUCAGACCGGAGGUAAUGUCUUAUCUCUGUGGCUUUUCAACGAUGGUGACAACUGAGGCAUCUCAAGAGGUUGAAAAGUUACACCGUGGUCGCUUUAUUUCUGCUGGACAGGUCACCUGCAGAUUUAGAGUCUUUCGUAGCCCUGUACUUCUCACCAGUAUACGCUGAUCGGACCAUCCUGGAUGGUCUGGAUUACACCACCGUGUCCACAGUCCAGCCAGGAGAAAAGCUGAUGACACAAUUCAGUACAGCAAGGUGUACAACAAAAAGUCCAGGAAGUGGAGCUUGCACUCAUUGAAGGUGGAGGACUACAGUUACAUCGGAGACCUACAGAGUGCCAUCCUCCUCCUCUAACGGUUGUUUACUACUGAGGAGCUGUCUAGAAUCAGAACCACGAGAACCUGAUGAUUCCCGUAAACAUGGGGUUCAGUCAGGUGUCCCUGCGCCAACUGUACUGCUAGAUACAGCAAAACGUACAACAAAAAAUAAUAUGGUUGGUUUUAAAAUGUGGUAAUCAUGUCAGAGAGGUGAUUGUGAUAUAUUAAAUCAUCUCCACAGUAACGAUACAAUGCUAGUAAAGUCUGAGCUGUCUUCAUAAUCAGUCAAGAUACUUCUGGACUUGUCUU